rnacentral:lncRNA from 1 species
UCUCAAAUCAAUUACAAUUACAAUAUCAGUCACAAAUAUUACAUCAAAUACUUAUCAAGUGAAUCGAAUUCAAUUUAUACAUGAGAUAUCCCUUCAGACAUUCUAAUAACUCAUUACACGCGCUUCCUUUGCCUCGAGCCCUGUGGAGGGGAAAUAAAUAUUUUUGGGGUGAGUUAGAAGUUCAGUGGGUAUCCAGUAAAAAUCAAUAAUCAAGUACAUUUCACAAUAAUGCAUUAGAUGAUGGCAUGACUCAGUAAUCAAAUGUAAGUUUAUUACUCUUAUGAGCCAGUGAAAUCCUCUUACUUAAAACUCCAACGCCCAAACAAAUCAAUUAACAAUCAAAUAGUAAUAGGGAGCCAUCGGUGCUCCAAAUAAACAGUGGUGGAGACGUUGAGUUUAAGCACAAGACUUCCCAAGAACUCAUUGGAGCCAAAUCAUUUCAUGAUACAUAUGCAGUCAUUCAUGAUAUGCAAUAGAGUAAGCAAUGCAAGAAAUAGUUUGGAAGUAAUUUUGAAAAUAGUUUUGGAAUCACUCACCAACCACAGCUCAUGAACCUCGUCCAUCACAGACAUUGCCUUGUUCAAGUCCAAGCCUUUCAUUUCUACCAAGAGCCCACUCACUCAAAGCAAUCAAAUGCUCUCAAAGAUUGGACAACAAUUUCCCUUAAUUUCCUUAUUUUCCAACUUACAAAACAUCACCAAUCACAUCUCAAUUCCACCACAUUCUCACAUACAAAUCAUAAGGUAUAAAACACACCUAAUUAGGGCUACAAUACCCUUAAAUCUUAACCAAUUAAGAGCUCAAUAACCAACCAUAAGAAAGCCCCAAAUUGGAAACCCUAAAACUGAAAGUUUCCGCACAAAUCUGAAAUUUUCCGCAAACAACCACAACUAACACACAAAGGCGCCAUUUGAUACCAUAUCAAGCUAUUAUUCCCUGACCAACCAACAAUUAUCAUAUAAAAUCAGAAAAUUCACUAAUAAAUCAGAAAUUUGUCAAACUCUACAUAAAAUCAUGAAAUCAUCCACAAAAUAACAUAUAUAACAUCUCUAAUCCACCAAUUAACAAUCACUUGAAAUAGAUAAGAAGUUCUUAGCAAGAUACCUUCAAACCUCAAGAAAAUUGGUAGCUUAGUGCUUCCUCCUCCAAAACAACUCCACCAAUAGCUUUAAACCUCCUUAGUGAGCACUUGUAUGGAAUAGAUUGCAAAACUAACGGUGAAAACUCAAGAUUUGGUGAAGAAAAUCAAAGGGAAAUAAAUGGAGUUUCUCUCUUGUUCUCCCUCUCAAAAAUGGUUCGGCCAAGCUAGAGAAAAGAAUGAAGAAAUUCAACCCAAAAGCAAGAUAAGAACGUUGAAAAACAGCCGGUCAAACCUGGCUGUUGAGGUGCCACGUCACAAUCCAGCCAAGAUUUGUACGAAUUUUCGGCCGGAUUCCAGGCCGGAUUGAGGACAGUGGCGAAAUUCAUAAUUUUUCAAAAUUCACCAACAAUCCGGCCAAGAACUGGCAGGAUUUGGUACUAACUUUUUCCACAAAAAAUUUUCUUUUCUUCUUCUUUUGAGGCUUCACAUACAUCUUUUGGAUGUAACUAAUCAAGCAUUGUUUUUACUCAUUAGCAAUGCUUCAUAAUUAAGGAAUUUAUAAAAUAAGCACAUAUAGGAUAGUCCUAUAAUUUUGUGUGCUUUUAUUUUAUUUUCUAUUUCUCAAAUUUCAAAUUUUCUUUCUUGUUUGAACACUUACAAAUGUAUCAAAUAUUGAUCCUUUAUCAACUAAAAAUGAACUUUAUAUUUGAUGAAUGGUUACCUAAUAAUGAGAUAAAUAUCUCUCACCAAUCAAAAAGAAUAGAAAAUAAUUCACAAAAGUUUAGUGUUAUAAUGAAACUCUUAUAGCAUCAAUAAUGGUUGAAUAAUCUGCUUUACUUAUGCAGUCUAUCUGAAAUAUUAUAGUCAAUAAAUCUAAAUUCUUUAAAGAUUUAUGAUUUGUCAACUCUUUAUUUCCUUAUAGAGAUAUAUCUCAAUCUCUUAUGCCAAAAUGUAAGGAGUUUCCUCAGUGAUAAACAUACUUGCUGCCAAUAUAAUUAUUGUAGUCAAGUGCAGUAUAUUACUCAAUUCAAUGGAUGGUAUUGAAAACUUUAGAAUUAAUAACUUCAAAAUCUACAACUGGAUAAUAAGGUUCAUAAUCAUACCCCAAUAGUAAUUAAUUUGAAAAUAGAAAUUCUAAAGUAAUAAGAAAAUAAUGUUUUAGAAAAAAAAAUAAAUUUUCUUGAAAUGAGCAAUAAUACAUCACUUAUUUUUAUGUGAACAUUUUUUAGUUUCUAUAAAGUAACUUUUAUUCAUUUUUCAUAUAAUUAGAAACUUAUUAUACUGGCAGCAUAAAUUGACAGUUUUAGCCAAUUCACCAAAUAUAUUACAAUUUGUAACACUCAACAAUUGAGACUUUUUUUUUUGAGUUACUUUCUUUUAAGGUAGAGUAUCAAAUAUCAUUCUCUUACAAACAACGCUGGUCUUUAUUGUUGUUUGACUCAAUGAGAACAAAAUUACCUUUCUUUCCAUUUCUUCUUUCAUGAAGGUUAAGUUUCUCUUAUUUCUUAACCUCUUUAUCUUUUCUUAAUACACAUGGUUAAAACAAGUAAUUAAUCAUAUAUCUUUAUGUGUAUUAUAAAAGUUUGAAUGGUUAAAAAAUUCUGUAUGAAAGAAUUAAGAAUGAAAUGCUAUAGAAAUAACUAAAUCUCAAUUUGAUGGGACUUUAAUUGAUGAUGCAGCAAAAUUCUCAACUCUAAGAAAUGAGCUAAAAUACACUUCAAUAGUUAAGUGUCACAAAAGAAAGCCUUCUAAUGGUGCUAGUUAAAACUUGCAACAACUUCUUUAUGGAUUUCAUGCAAGAUUUAAUUAUAAAUAAUUAGGGUUUGAACCCUAUUUUAUAUGAAUAUGAGACAAAAUGAGCAAACUAUUAAAUUGCUCCCAAUUCUCAUACUCAACCUCUAUAUAAGCAAAUAUAUCCAUAUUAUGAGAAUGGUUUGUUCAUUCUCAUGAAAUUGCUAAUUUAAAACUUGCACAAAAAACAAAAGAGAAUGAAUUUAAAAAUCAAGCUGAUAAGAACCAUAAAAUCAUUGGAAUGAAACACUGAAUUAGCAAUCAAGAACUAUAUCAUAAAAAAGUUAUGAAAUUUGUACCUUGAUUUUGAAUCAACCUUAUGUCAAUUCAAAUAGUAAAUUCAAACCUUUCUGUGGACAAAUGUUGCAAACAUGCAUAGAAUUUAUUUUACUUAAUCAUAAAACUAGUAAUUUAGAACAAUGAAUUAAAGAAAUAAUUCGUGCCUAUGGGCAUAGAAAUAUGUCUUAAUUAACUGUCUAAUUUACCAUCUUAUGUCAAUUAAUUUCAUCAAAAUAAUUACCUCCCUGUGGGGCCGGAUAACUAUCUCAAUGAAUUAAUUGCAACUUGAUAUAGAUGCCAUUUUUUAAAUUUCUUUAAUCACUCAACAAUAUGUGAAAAAGAAAUGCAAAAUUUCUCCAAACACCAAUAUACUUAAGAUGCUGUGGCUACGCCUAAGUAUACGGUGUUAUAAGAAAAAGUGUCAACUAGUCAAUAUGUUGACUAAAAAUUCAUCAUUUUAAUCGCCAAAUUGUGGCCCUGUUUGGAAUCUCAAGUUUUUUACAAGUUUGUAUGCUACUAGUUUUUUAACAACUUUUGCUACAGGAAUCCCAAAAAACUUCUCAAAGUUUUUUACCUACACACUUCAAAACACAAAAAAAAAAAAUUCCCUACCCUUUUCUUCUUCUUCCGUUGCCGACCACCACCUCCGGCUCCAGAACCGGCCUCGAUCACUUCUUCUGGUGCCGGUCUUCCUUUCUCCCUCUCUCCCUCUCCCCCUCUUCCUCUCCCACCAUCCUUACUUUCCACUCACAGAGUUUCUAAUCUACACACAGGACUUCAAAGCCAUAUGUGAGCCCACGAGUUCUAUAAAAGCUUGUUCAUUUAAUUAAACUGUAACAAUACAAAAUUGCAUUAGACUGAUCCCAUAAAAUUAUCCUUGCCAAGUUUGUAUGCAAAUCUACCUAUAGCACACGAAUUUGGGAAAGAAAUUCAAGAGAUGAAAGCCACUCUACAGUUAGAUUUCGGCCACACCAAUUACUUUUACCCGAUUUGAUGGCGGGGGUGGCGGAGGAGGGGGAGGAGAAGGGGAGAGGGACAAUUGUAAAAAAAAAAAAUUUCUGUACCUGAUCUGUGCGGCAAGAGGAGGAGAGGGAGAGAAAAAAUUAGAAAACAAAAAGUUGAGGAAAGGCUCCUCCAUCGCCAGCAGGUG